ACAACAAUUGCGAUGGCUCACUAAUGCUAAAAACUGUAAAUGUGAAAAGAGCUGUGCAAAAAAUCUUACAAAAAUACAUAAUAAGUGGCUUGAAUGUGCAUUCAAUUGUAUGCAAUGUAUGUUUUUCUGAACUAAUAUAAGAAUAAUUAUAUUGCAAAAUUAUAAUGCAAACACAUUAGCACUGGUUUUCUCUAAAAAGAAUGACUUAACUGAAAGUCCCCUGCCUAACGAGAAGAAGCAAGCUUGGGUAGGCUGGGGUUUGGGCGGCAGCAGAAGAGGCGACAGCGCUGAAAAUGCAGAGCAGCUCUCGGCUGUCACGUUCACUUGCUGUAAAACCCUGUGGAAUGAUAUAACAUUGACGUCACGGAGGGGUGACGUACCAGCCGCUGAUUAAAAAGAAGACAGAAAAAAAGGCCAAGUUGUAUUAAUCAUCCUGUAGAAUAUACUGUGUGCCUGCAGUACGGUGGAGUAUCCCCGCAAUGCUCCAUCUUCACGCUAAUGUAAUGAUAAGACAGUAUUUUAUAUUGGUUUUUGCCUUUGAGUGUCAUUUUACUUAGAAUUUUUUAAAAAAAUCUUGCUUUUUACGGGCACUGUGUGGGGAAGUGUUUUUUUACUACUCUGGCAUCCCUUCACUGGCUCCCCAUACAUUUUAGAGUUAUUUUCAAGAUCCUCUUAUUUGUUUUCAACUCUCUGAAUAAUCUCGCGCCACCUUACCUCUCUGAGCUCAUCCGCCCCUACACACCUGCCCGGCGCCUCAGGUCUGCGGACCAGACAUGAUUAGAAGUACCAAGAACUAAACUGAGGCUCAUAGGGGAUCGAGCCUUUUCUGUUGCUGGUCCCUCUCUCUGGAAUGACCUCCCACUGAACAUUUGGCAAGCCUCCUCGCUGCCCAUCUUCAAAACCCUCCUCAAAACUCACUUGUAUUCUUUGUCAUUCAACUCAGCAUGACUUAGAUUUGUUCUUGGUUUUACUGUUUAUUGUGCAUGUUAAAUUGCUCCAUGUACAGCACUUUGUAUGCAGCGAUGGCUGUUUGAAAGUGCUUUAUAAAUACAGUUGACUUGACUUGACUAGUUAUGUAAUUUAAAUUUCCUAAUCACUGUUCUGUAGCACUGGUGCCGGAAGUAAUUUGUAUAAAAUAUAAUGGAUUUGAUUAUAGAUUUUAACUUGUGUAAAACUUUUUUUUUCAUAGAGUAUUCUGAGUAUUAUCUAAUGGCCUCUCUGUCUUACUUGUAACCUUGUGUCUGUGCUGAUGACACUCUUGAAUGUGUUUUUUGAUCUUAUCAGCUCUCCACCUAGCAAUAAACUCAAAUUGCAGCUAAGCAGAGCUGUUUUCUACUUUGCCAUUUUAUAGUACCUGGGCCAUACCACCUUUUUCUUUGGAAGUAGAAGUGAGUACCGUAAUCAUAUCUUACGAAGGACAAUAGUAUCUAAUGUUUCUCAGAAGCUGUGUGAUGCAGGGCCACUUUAAAUUAAUCAUUAAUCUCUUCAUUGUAUUUAGCUUCCUACUCAGGCUGGGCUAUCCCGAAGAGUAUCAAUUGAUAUUGAUUUUUAUUUUUACUCAUUUAUUUAUUUGACCUAUUUAAACUAAGAAAAAAACUGGAAAAAUACCUUUUAAAAAUAUAUUUACAAUAUACAAUACAAUACAGUACAUACCAUAUUGGCCCAAAUGUAAGGUCUUCUUAUUUCUUAUAUUCGAGGUCUAGACAUUAUACCCAUUCACGACGCGAGAUGGCGUCAGAUAUCAUUGACGCGAAUGCUGAACUUGACUUUCCAGGCCAAAGUGAACCCCUGUCACGAAGAAUAAAAAUUAAAAUAGCUGUAGCACGAAGAAGAAAAAUAAAAAUAGCUGUAAGAAAGAAAAGAGAAGAAAAUAAUGGAAGAGAUAACAGAAAAUUGAGAAACUUAGCGACGAUCUGGAGAAAAGUGGGUCGAAUAUCAGCUAGGUUAACCGGCAGCUGAGGAGAAGUUACGAUGUAAUUUACGUACAUUUAAAAAAUCCAAAGCUUUUCAGUUACGAAUGUGAUUGCACUUUAGUUUACAUAUUUAAAUCUUCAGAUGUUAAGAUUUAAAUGAGGCAAAACAACAAGCAUUUUCUCUCAAAUAUAUUGUUAUAAUCAUUUGUUUCAGAUGUACUGUAAAUAUUUUCUGUAUAAAAAUUAAUUUGGUGUUCAAAAAGUCUUUUUCCAAACUUGAGUCUUGAAAAAGAUGGGGUCAUCUUAUAAUCUGGGCCGUCUUAUAUUCGGGCCAAUACGAUAUUUAUUUACAUAGCAUGAAGCCAUUAUUUAGCUAUGUACAUUAUUAUCUUAACGACACAUUACGGACAGCUACACUUUGACUAUAAUUCACAACAGUUGCAGCUGUAACAAAGCGCUGUACAUAGCAGUUAACAUAAAACAAAAAAAAAACACGGAGAGUCAUGCAAUUUUAACCACUUUUUUUAUGCAGUGUAAUGCGCAAUGUUGUUUACAUCCAUGCUCCUGGCUCAAUCUAUGUGCAGAAGACACUCCAGUAAACACCAUCGUUGAUACAGUAAUAGUCAUCUUCAUUCGUAGUUCUUACAGUUAAAGUGUAGCGAACUAAUAUGCUCUUGGACUGCAUGCAUGACAGUUGACCAACCAUCUUAAGCCUACUUUAACUUGAUUGCGGGUUCAUUUUUGCCACAUAGGACAAGUUAUUGUUUUAUCUGACAGUUGACAUCAUGGUAAAAACGAUCAAAGGUAUCGCGUCAAAGUCAGGGAAACCCCAUUGACUUCUGCUCCAUGUAUCUAUUCGGAAAGAAGUGAUUCUUUUGAGAAUCGAUUAUCCUAUCGGAUUUCCCUGAUUACUACUCGUGUAAUCUAAACCACAAGCCCUUGGCAUCUUCAUAAAAAAUAAAAAGAAAAAGAAAAAAUGGGCUCAUAUCAUGUUUCUUAAUUGUGACGUUCCUUGCUCCUCGCUCCUCAGACAUGGUGAAUCCGACAUGGACGUUGUUAUAUUUAUUUUACGUCAAACAAGUUAUUCUCUAUAAAAUGAAUUUGGAGUGACUAUUUUCAGGUGUCUUAAACGGAUUACAUGUAAUUGUAUUUCUGUUAUCAUGAUGUCUCUGAUCCACUACUAAAAGGAGACGUUGAUUCUCUGCUAUUUCAUCUAUAACUGCUUCAAACAACAAGGCAUAUGCAGGAAUAGUGGUUAGGAUUGCGUGACUGUCCAUAUCUUAUGUUAUGUGUUGUGUUACAUUACUGUAUUUUGUUAUUUUAUGUUAACUGUUCCGUAAAGCGCAUUGUUGCAACUGGAGCUGUUGUGAAAGUGCACCGCGAUAUGAAUAAAGAUUUAUUGUAUAUUCUGCGGGAAAUAUUGCUUUAAUUUUUGCACCUUUCCAUUUUGGACAGACUUUUGGAACAGAUUAAUCAUUAAUCAUUGCACUGUAUGCUGUAUAUUUAAAAUCAAUCUUGUCAAACGCCUUAGCAUCUCUCGUGUAUGCAGUGUGCUAAUUUUGAAUGUAGUCAAAGCGAACGAGUCCGUGAGCUGCAGUGUGGCGGGGCUUGUGUAACAAUUGCACUUUGAAGACCAGGAUGUCCUAAUUCAUUGCUUAGCAACUCUCAAUGGAUAGUGACACAAGCGCUGUUGCAAACAGGAGAACAUUCUGUGUAUAACAUAAAAAGCUGUAUCAGCAUUUGUGACUUAUGCCACUGUCUUAUGUGUGCAUAAAUGUAAAAUGAUCCGCAGUGGACAAUGUAUGUGUUAAACAUUUCAUCCCGCUGUGAUGAUAUUGCAAGUGUGCCAUUUGAAAGGGUUAAGUGUCGUGAGAUGGCGUGUUUGGAGUGAAACAGGAUGCAGUGACUGCAUUGUCAGUCUGCUGGUGUGAGUGCAAACAGAUGAGGAAAUGCUGGAGCGGGUACUCCAAAACUCACGUUGUCGUGGUAACGGUUUGCGUCAUGAUCACCAGCAAUUAGCUUGCAGCUCUUUAGUUUUCAUGAUAGGUCUAGCAGGUCUAAUGGCCCUGGUGUCUAAGGAGGUGCUGUCAGAACAGCGUUCACAGCAUAUUCUUAGAGCCGUUAAUGUUGUUAGUACUUCAUUUGUGUACUUGUCAUGACUCAAAUUCAUAAAUUAAUCUUUGAGGUAGCGCGUCCUCAAUGCGAUCCUUGACCUCAUCUACUGUAUCUGUUUGAAUUUAUUUUUUUAAUGAUGUCAAAAGCUCAUUCUUGGAGCAGAGUGUGCUUUGUUGAGACACAAAUUCUUGGUCUGAAGAGAGGAAUGCAGCACGAUCAACAUCAUCAGCAAGUUUUUUUUUCUUUUUUCUGCCUGUUCUUGAGAGCCUGUUCCCGCUCUUGCAAAAUCAAAUGACGCUUUUAAGUGAAUAUGUCGUGUUCCCUGAGCAGCACAAGCAGGCAUUAAAGGGCUCAUAUUUAAAGCUUGUAAAGGCACAAAGAUGUUCCCUACAAUGGAAACUGCUCCUGCGGCUCAGCUUUUUUUUAGGUUCAGAAAGAGGUUGUUGAACCUUGCAUGUACUGAAUGUUUGCUCAACCCACUGACAGGGGAAAAGGAAAGAGAAUGUUGAAGUGACAGUGGGAGUCCAUGCUUGAAUGGAAGAAUGUAGUAAAUGUUUUGUUUUUCAAUUUAUUGCCUGUUAAUAGUCUCCAGAUGACCCAACUGAUAUAAGAGUUUUCUGAUGAUCAUUUGUAGGAAGAGACAAGACAGAUCAUUGUCAUUUCACUUUGUGUACAAUUUAAAAUGAUCCUUCCUAUCACUUUGGCUUACAUUCUAACCAUGACAAAGCACAUUUUCACACACCCCCACCCCAGACGUUCUUUGUUCCAUCCCAUUUUGCUGUUUCUCAUUUUCUCAGAAUUUUCUUUUCUGUCUUUCUCUGUGUGCCCCUUUUGAAAACGGUGUCAGCGCCGCAGCUUUUACACCAAAAGGCUGUUGCUAAGUGACGGUUGACGUCAGCCGCAGCUACAGAAGAGGGCUUGUGUGUGUUUAGCAGCUGAGGGCAGAUCCCACUGAAAAGGGCAAGAACUGUGAAGCGCUGUUUGUCAGUGCUAUGAAAACCCCAACUUUUGACCGGCACCAUUGCUAUUUUCCAUAAAUGCAACAUUUCAAACUGAGUAAUGUGUAAAAAUAAAGUUGAAUAUCAAAGUUUAAAACUGAUAUGACAAAAAAGCUUGUCUACACACCCUUUUUCUUCACUUUUUAUUUAGUCUGUCACUGUCUCUGCUCAGGCACCCCUCCCCCAGUGCACAACUACACACAGAACCUCAAAUGCCCCUCAUGCACAUGCACAUGCACAUGCACAUGCACACAUUGCCUCUCUGCACAUAAUGUGAGUAGGGGUAGGCUCAAAGAGGAAAAAAAGAAAAGAAGAUAAAAGAAAAGAAAAUGUCAAUAUUAAAGAACGCUCAUGGAUGGCAGUAUCACAUACGCCACAUGCUUGCUACACAAGCAACAUAGUGCAUUCAAGCUCCUUUGCUGGCAUGUAUCUGUGAUUACACAUUAUGCUACUCGAACGAAGGUCAAUGGACCAAUCGGGCCAGUAAUUUAGGGUCAUGAACUUUAUAGAGCACAUUUGACAAUAAAGUUGACUUAAACUUGACCUUGAACUUUAUUACAGUAACUCUUGCUAUGUUACAAUUCACUGGGAUUGUACAUGUAAAAGCUUAUGGAUUCCAGGGAAAUGUCAUCUUUAUACUGAUGACUGAGCCGUAUGUUGGGGAUUCCCUGCGUGGCUAUCUACAAGGGCAAGUUAAUAAGCAACAACUCUUGCUAUAAUGGCACAUAAUUACUGAUUAAUUAAUUAUUACUUAGUAAUUAAUUAAUUACUUGUUGAGUGCCUUUUGCAAAAUGCUAAUUUUGAACACGAUCUUUAUGUCAUGAAAAUUAAACUUUCAAUUCAUAAAUUGGGUCAAAGUUUGACCCACUGAGCCAGGAUUGCCUCGUAUCUCAAUCUCAAUCUGCGUGAUUUACGAAUCAUUUUACUGUGCCGGGUCACAUUUAUAGACACCAUUAAAAAAAUGCUCCCAAGCAUAUAUUCUUUAUCCUCUGCAAAAAAUUGUGCGUAAAAUAUUAUUUUAGCUAACUUGAGACGGGCUUUGUGUUUCAUCAUCAAAUCUACAUGUUGUACGGUAUGUCCGAACUAUGUAUUAUGCGCACACCAGAUGGAGCAGCACAAUGGCCAUUGAAUUGCAUGUAUAAUGGCUGGCAGAGAACACAUUAAACGAGUACAGUAAGUAAAGCCACAAUGUACGCACUUAUGCCAAAAGGUGACGCCCAAAUGUCUUCCAUUAGUUUACUUCUGCACCUCCAGUCUUUUCUUAAAGCUUUUUAUAGUUGCCUUUCACCUAUAAAUAUUUCAAUCUUGUUUUCAGUACUGCUGCUGCCUCUUGUGUGACCCUCACUUGCCCUUAUCGGUGUUGAACUUGUAUGCGAGGAUCAAGUGGAUAAAUCAUAGGCUUGAUGUCACAUUUGAGCAACAGGGGGCAUGACACAGCUUCACAGAUCCUGGGGAUUUGGUGGUGGGCGCUCAGCCACUGACCAUAGAAGUUGGCCUGGCAUACACAUGGAUCCAAGAUACAUUACAUGACUUGCAUGGUGGAGAUAUUAUACAGAAAGUGCAGUGUAACAGUCGUUUGCGAACAAGAUGUUAUGUCAGGGGUGCUCAUUAGGUAGAUCCUGAUCUACCGGUAGAUCUAAGACAGGUCCCAAGUAGAUCCGAGGAGUGUCGAGGAGAAAAAAAAACAAACAACCAUUUGUGUGUCUUUGUACAUGUUAAUAAUAUAUAUAUAUUUUGUGUUAAUGUACACUGCACCCUAAUCAUCUUAUCAGUCUCAUUUUUACCCAAAAAAUAUUUAAAAAUGAAAUAAAGCAGGUAAAUCUUGAAUUUACGGUGGCGCGUGAUUACGUCACCGGAGGUUGUUAGCUCUCAGCAGUCUGCAAUUGCAGCUUGUGAUCAGAACUGUUGCACUUUAUCUUUUAUCGUCAUUAUUCUCAUUCAGAGUUUGCUUCGUGUACAAUUCACCGAGGGCACGAGCAAAAAAUAGGAAUCUAGGAGGGCCCAGGGAAGCACUUUAAAACGGUACGUGUGAGCUACGAUAGUUAACAGGCUGCAUAAGUGCGUUGCAUGCCUCAGUUUCAGGCUGUUUCUCAUCAGGGAGUGUGUGUGCGUGUGCAUGUCUGUGCACGUGCGCGCGCGCGGCGGUAAGGGUCGAUCCCGGGAGGUUAGUUGAUCGAAAAGUAGAUAUUCAAUCCAAAAAGUUUGAGCACCCCUGUGCUACAUCAUACCAAACUUCACAGAGAUAAUUGCUGCUGUACAUUUAAUCACGCAAGUUACCAGAAUAUUGUAAAAAGUCUACUUCAGGAAAAGUGAAUUUCAGUUCUCUUUGUAAAAAUUGGGCAUUUAAUUGACAAAGCAGCAACUGGCUGUAAAUGUAAGGUACCUUUGCUCGUCUUGAAUCUGUUUAGUAAACCGAACUCAGGUCUGUUUCUGUGACUCAUCUCACAGUCGGGCGACGUACCAGCACACCAUGCGGCAGACCAUGCGAAAUCUGGUCUUAAGUGGUUCCUGCGUUAUGUUCUGACCUACACUCUUGUCAAAUUUUGUCUGUCGAGGUCUGACAAUGAUUUAUCGAUGGCAGUGUGAAGCUCCAAACCUCUUCUAUCCUGCACAGCGUCAGUCAUACGUGAGAGGUGUUUCUAAUUGUCUGUCCCUACAAUGUAUUUAAAUAAUGUAACCAUAUUAAUAGAAGCAGAUUUCAGUGUGAUGCAGUUAAGUUCAACACAUCACCUUUGCAAAUGUACAAACAUCCUGUGAAAUGAAUACCUCUCUGAUGGUGUCAAUCAAAACUGAAGAUUAUUAUCUUUUGACAUGUCUAUCUACAGUAUAUGCUGUUCUUGUUUCAUGUUAUUUGAUGCAAUUCAUAUUAGUCCCGGACCAUGACGGCAAAGAUAAUGGUCUUUUUUUUUUGCUUGAGAUUGAAAUCAUGAUGAUUAAAAUGAUUAUUCAUUUAUUUCAAAACUUUGUAUUUACUCAACUUUACUCAACAAAUUCAACUGCUCAAAACUGUCUCAUGCCAUUUCAUCCCUGCACAUUGAACACUAUUCUUAAACGGUCCAUUCUUUCUGUGACCUUUUAAAUAUGUGAAAUUCAAGCCCUUUGCAUUUUCAUUCUGCUAUAAUUACAUUGUUGAUGCCUUACAUCUUUGCACACAUUGAUGCCUUCAAUAAGCAUCGCCCUUAUCAAUUGAUCAUAUUUAUUUUAUCUUGUUAUUUUCUCGAGUCUUGGGAGUUACUACGCUAACUUGGGAUCUCGGGGAUUGUAUUUCCUGCCAUGUCAUGAGGAAAUGUGUGUUGGUACAACAAUCAAAUGUUCUUGGAUCUUUGUAUCAUAGAAUUUUGAGGAUGUAAAAAUUCCUUGAAUCCUUGAAAACAAUAAAUAGAACUUGAAAGAACAACAAGAAAAUCAGUUAGUAAGAAAGUUAAAAUUAGAAUAUACUAAAAUAAUCUUUCCAUCAUAGCAAUGGGGAAAACCCAGAUGUUCCUGCACAUUGUUGCCUCUUGUGGCAACAUGGUGCCAUGUAUGAAUGAUGUACACCAGGGGUGCCCAUUAGGUAGAUCUAAGACAGGUCCCAAGUAGAUCCGAGGAGUGUCGAGAAGAAAAAAACAAACAACCAUUUGUGUGUCUUUGUACAUGUUAGUAAUAUAUUU